GGCUUAAUGCUUACGUAUGUGACCUGCGGAAGGAUGCAUUA
rnacentral:rRNA from 1 species